CUUCUCAUAGGGGUCCCUCCAAUGCAGAAUAUGGGCAGAAUUAGUGCUAACAAUGAAGUACCUGUCCAGAAGGAUCUAACAGCUAUAUUUUUAGUCAGGAUUAAUCCUGACUCCAACAAGUGCACUGCCAAGGAGCAGAUGAGCAAGACGACUGAGAGAGUGGUGAAGCAGAAGACGUCAUACAUGAACCCCCAUGUAAUCUCCUUCAUCAGGGACCUCACUGAGUUCUAUUUGCUAACUGACUAGAUGCAGGACAACUGGGAUUCUGGGUCUCCAAGGUCAGGGGACCAUAGACCUUUAUAUCAAGUGGCAGGGGAAUGAUAUUUGUAAGAAGUUUCUUUUCAUUUAUGUUUUAAAUGUUCAUGCACAUGUUCAUUAUUGUUCAAUGUUUUAUUUUAUUUCAAUAUUGCCAUUGUGUUAAUCAUUGCUCUUUAAAACGUGCAAAUAAGGUUGGUUAUUUUUUUUGACCGUAUUUUAUCAAUUCACAUUAUUGUUCCAUCAUGUUAACUGUGGAUAGUCUAAUGGCAUGUCGUCCAUUAUCCCUAACUUAUGUUGUACCUGUUUUGUCAUGUUCCUGUUCACCAAAUGUCUUAAAUAAAUAACUGUUAACAAUUUCUUGUUGUCCCAGACCCAGCUCUUCCAGAGAGCAUCCCAGAGCAUCUCCUCUCAUAGCACCACUUACAACAAGUCUUGCUGAUCCUAGCACUUAUCAGCCGUC